rnacentral:tRNA from 2 species
GCCGAGGUAGCUCAGUUGGUAGAGCAACGGACUGAAAAUCCGUGUGUCGGCAGUUCAAGUCUGCCCCUCGGCACCA